rnacentral:rRNA from 2 species
UGCGAGUCUUUGUAGUAAUACAAGGCAGACGGCUCAGUAACGCGUAGUCAAUCUACCCUAUGGACGGGGAUAACCUCGGGAAACUGAGAAUAAUACCCGAUAGAACACUAUGCCUGGAAUGGUUUAUGUUCCAAAUGAUUUAUCGCCGUAGGAUGGGACUGCGGCCUAUCAGUUUGUUGGUGAGGUAAUGGCCCACCAAGACUAUUACAGGUACGGGCUCUGAGAGGAGUGGCCCGGAGAUGGGUACUGAGACACGGACCCAGGCCCUAUGGGGCGCAGCAGGCGAGAAAACUUUGCAAUGUGCGAAAGCACGACAAGGUUAAUCCGAGUGGUUUCUGCUAAAGGAACCUUUUGUCGGUCCUAGAAACACCGAUGAAUAAGGGGUGGGCAAGUUCUGGUGUCAGCCGCCGCGGUAAAACCAGCACCUCAAGUGGUCAGGAUGAUUAUUGGGCCUAAAGCAUCCGUAGCCGGCUCUGUUAGUUUUCGGUUAAAUCUGUACGCUCAACGUACAGGCUGCCGGGAAUACUGCAGAGCUAGGGAGUGGGAGAGGUAGACGGUACUCGGUAGGAAGGGGUAAAAUCCUUUGAUCUAUUGAUGACCACCUGUGGCGAAGGCGGUCUACCAGAACACGUCCGACGGUGAGGGAUGAAAGCUGGGGGAGCAAACCGGAUUAGAUACCCGGGUAGUCCCAGCUGUAAACCAUGUAAACUCAGUGAUGCAUUGGCUUGUGGCCAAUGCAGUGCUGCAGGGAAGCCGUUAAGUUUGCCGCCUGGGAAGUACGUACGCAAGU